rnacentral:tRNA from 1 species
GCCCAUGUGGCUCAGUGGAUGGAGCGUUCGCCUGCGGACUGAAGGUCCCCGGUUCGAUUCCGGUCAAGGGCA